UUAUUAAUAAGUAAGGAUUCAAUACAACUUAUGAGUUUGCAUAUAGGCUAUUACAAGUUGUAUAAUCGAUCUAACUACCCAGCAUCCAUCACCACUCAUCUUCCCGGCCUUGAGUCCUCGCGCCUAAGCCCUUUCAUCCCCUCGAUCACCUUCUUUCCCUCAAACCACAUAGGAAAUCAGUAACAUGUUCACUUAAUCACCAUCGUUUUGCAUGCAAGUUACUCUAGCAACUCUGCCCGUUCAAAUGUUCGGUAGAGAGGUAGUCCGCGCAUCAGUUCGGUCGAGUAUCAUCAAUGAUUCCACUCGCCGAGCCGCGUCCCCUUUUCUCCAAACAAUCCUUCCGGACAAAGUUAUGCAUAUGAUCAUGCUCAUGUAACUAUCGAACCCAUAUGCACAACACAACCGAUCUUAUGGUCUCCGGUAUUAACCUUUUAUCGGAUUCCGACUUUCCUUAGUGUUUCUCUCGAAGAUAACUUCAAGAAUAUAAGUAUUUCCCGAUUUUUCCGAACGUGUCCAAAACUGAGGGCGAGACCCACUAUUUAUAGUGUUUCGGCCAAACCCUUCCGUUCGAAAAGGCACCUGUUCGAUGCACCUUUCACUCGCACCGAUUCGCUGGAAUCCUUCCAUUCACACCAUUUCACCGAUAACUGUUCGCUCUUCCUCUGGUCACUGCCCAAUUAGCUCGUUCGGUGAGUGAACAUCACAACUUGUUCGACUACCGUACAGCUGGUCGAGCUUCCAAACAACUGGUCGAGCUGGUGUUACUUCCGGGCAGCUGAGGUCGAGCUGGUACCACUACCCGGCAGCUGGGCGAGUUAGCUUAACUGAUCUUUUCAGCUGGAUUGUUCGAUCAAUACUUCUUCCUUUUCCGUUUUCCUACAUUUCGAGCUGAUGGUCAGCUCCGUUUAGACUUGUUCGAGUUUUCUCCUUCAUUCUCGAACUAAGUCUCGACCAACGAUCCUAUUCGGGAUCGCGGGCGUAACAGUGGUACAACCACUUUUGCUAGACACCCCCACACUUUGAGGUAUUUGUAUGAAGGUACUGUUCCUUUCCAAAGUUCAUGUGGUGAUUUGCCAGUCACCUUAUGCGGUAUCCUGUUGAGGAAAUAAUUAGUGGUAAGCAAAGCUUCCCCCCACAUGUUCUGGGCUAACCCAGAUUCCUGCAACAACGCAUUCAUCAUUUCUUUCAGAGUUCGAUUCUUUCGUUCCGCAACUCCGUUAGAUUCUAGUGAGUUAGGAGCGGUCGUUUGAUGUAUAAUGCCUUUUUCUCUUCAAAAUGCAUUGAACGGUUCAUUAUAUUCUCCACCUCUAUCACUUCGAACUACUUUUAUAGUUCUCUGCAUAUGGUUUUCUACUUCGAGUGUAAACUCUUUGAAUUUUUCCAGUGCUUGAUCUUUACUAUGUAACAAAUAUACAUAGCAAUAUCGUGUGCAGUCAUCUAUGAAGGUAACAAAGUAUUUCUUACCGCCUCUAGUUGGCACAUAUUUUAAAUCACAUAAGUCUGUGUGAAUUAAACCUAGAGGUUCGGUUGUUCUUUCAACUCGAGGUGAGGGAGUUUUAGUGAGUUUGGCCUGUACGCAUACUUCACAUUUUUCUUGGUUAGUUUUGAAUUUUGGAAUUAAAUUCAAAUUCUGCAUUUUUCGCAUUGUUUUAUAAUUGACAUGUCCUAAUCGUUCAUGCCAAGUAGUAAACGACUCAACCAAGUUAGCAAUAGGGUUUUUAUUCAUUUCAGCAACAGAAGCAGAUGCUACAAUUUUCGGAUAGACUGUCGCUACAGACAUUUUGAUCAGUCCACCCUUAACAAAACCCUUUCCCAGAUACACCCCAUUCUUCUUAAGAACUAGCUUAUUAGACUCAAAAUUAAUGGAAAAACGAUUCUUGCUUAGCACCGUUCCAGAGAUGAGAUUCUUCCGCAUGUCAGGUACGUGCUUUACGUUCAUCAGAGUCAGCUCACGAUCAGAAGUCAGCUUCAGGACUACUUUGCCCUUUCCUUCAAUCUUGGACACCGGUGUGUUGCCCAUGAAAAGUUGCUCACUUGACUUGUUCUUCAUGUAGGUGGAGAACAUGGUCUUGUCAGAGCAGAUGUGUGUGGUAGCAACAGUAUCAUAGUACAACUCCACAUGAUUGUCUUGCACCAUGUUACAUUCAGUGACCACCGCAACCAUGUCUUCUUCAGUUAGGUUUGCCUGGCUCUUGAUAUCCCUGGCUUUGAUUUUGCAAACUUCAGCCUUGUGCCCAAUCUUUCCACAAUGAUGACACUUGCCUUUGAACUUCCUCUCAGGGUUGCUCUUCUUGAAGUUCGUUGUGGACGACACCUUCAAAUCUUUUUGAGGAUUAGACACCCCUUUACCCUUGCCUUUCAGCUUGGCCUUAUGCUCAGCUACAUUGACAUCAUGCCCCUGGUUUUGAGCACCUGGAUGAACCCCACGAUUGUUGCCCUCAAUCCUCAACCUGCGGAUAAAAUCAGACCAAGUGGCUCACUUCACACCCUUAUUUCUCAUUCAAUUCAACUCAGUUUUUAACAUAUGAGUAUACCAUUUUGUAUUACUCGUUACCACCUUUCCAUUGCACUAUCAAGCUCACAAUUCCGUUCAGCCGUUUGGCCGGAAUUUGGCCAGAAAGUCGCCAGAAAGUCAUCGUCAAAAAUCUGCAAUUCUUCAGAAACUUAUUUCUGAAAAUUCAGUUCCAACAAUCCCCCACAUUAAUAGAAAUAAGUCUAAACAGAUGACGACUUAACUAACCCUAUGGACUGACGCGACUAGCUAGACUAGACAGACAGACNNNNNNNNNNNNNNNNNNNNNNNNNNNNNNNNNNNNNNNNNNNNNNNNNNNNNNNNNNNNNNNNNNNNNNNNNNNNNNNNNNNNNNNNNNNNNNNNNNNNGUUUACUCGGCCAGAUGGUGAACAUGAUGUCUUGAACCAUCCGGACUUUGAUGUAAACUUAGACAACAGGUCUAACACAGCUUCGUUUUCUAGUAGAACUAAGUUCUCUAUUGUGUUCAUUGUGGCCUUGAACUUGCCUGGAUAAUCAUGAGUUAACUUGGAGAGUAUAGCCUCACAUAUUCUCCUAGAAACGGCCCCAUUUCACACUCACAAGGUGAUUAACUAACUGCUUGUAUUUAAAGAAAUAUCCUGUAAGUACUUCNNNNNNNNNNNNNNNNNNNNNNNNNNNNNNNNNNNNNNNNNNNNNNNNNNNNNNNNNNNNNNNNNNNNNNNNNNNNNNNNNNNNNNNNNNNNNNNNNNNNNNNNNNNNNNNNNNNNNNNNNNNNNNNNNNNNNNNNNNNNNNNNNNNNNNNNNNNNNNNNNNNNNNNNNNNNNNNNNNNNNNNNNNNNNNNNNNNNNNNNNNNNNNNNNNNNNNNNNNNNNNNNNNNNNNNNCCUCUUGAUGAUUUUGAAACUUUAUCUCGUGUCAAACCUUUUGUAAAUGGAUCCGCUAGGUUGUCUUCUGACCUGAUGUAGUCAAUCGUGACUACCCUAGUUGAGAUUAGUUGUCUAAUGGUUUUAUGUCUAUGUCGGAUGUGACGAGAUUUACCAUUAUAUAGGGUACUUUGUGCCCUGCCUAUAGCUGAUUGGCUAUCACAGUGUACACGUAUUGCAGGCACAGGUUUCCCCCACAUUGGGAUAUCUUCCAAGAAAUUACGAAGCCAUUCAGCCUCUGAUGCAGCUAUUUCCAAAGCUAUGAAUUCUGACUCCAUAGUUGACGAAGCCGCUAGAGUUUGUUUGGAAGAUUUCCAGGACACUGCAGCACCUCCAAGUGUAAACACGUAUCCACUUGUGGAUUUUGAGUUUCUGGAGUCUGCGAUCCAGUUGGCGUCAGUGUAUCCUUCCAGUACUACAGAUUCUUUACCAUAGUGUAAGCCCUGAUCUUUGGUAUAACGUAGAUAGUCUAAGACUCUAGUUAUAGCUUUCCAAUGUUUAUGUCCUGGAUUGCUCGUGUAGCGACUAAGUACAUUUACAGAGUGCGCUAAAUCUGGUCUAGUACAGUUUGUCAAGUACAUAAGACUGCCAAUUACUCUUGCAUACUCCACAUGUUGUACAGGUUCACCAGAAUUUUUAGUCAAGUGAAGUUGAAGAUCCACUGGAGUUUUUGCCUUCCCAUGUGAGUAAUGCUUGAAUCGAUCAAGUAUCUUUUCAGCAUAAUGGGUUUGAGACAGGAUAAUGCCCUCAUCAGUUCUUAUGAUUUUUAUCCCCAAAAUGACGUCUGCAAGACCCAAAUCUUUCAUGUCAAAAUUUCUUUUGAGCAUGUUUUUCGUUUGAUUUACGAUGUCUUUGUUGCUUCCAAUGAUGAGCAUAUCAUCUACAUAUAAACAUAACAAAAUGUACCCCGAAAGAGUAAUUUUGAAGUAUAUGCAUUUGUCGCAUUCAUUAAUGCGAAAGCCAUUAGACAUCAUCACACUGUCAAACUUCUCAUGCCACUGCUUAGGAGCCUGUUUGAGUCCAUACAGUGACUUUACAAGUUUACACACUUUGUGUUCUUGUCCCGGGGUAACAAACCCUUCUGGUUGUUUCAUGUAGAUUUCUUCUUCUAAAUCUCCAUUGAGAAAUGCAGUUUUUACAUCCAUUUGAUGUAUUUCAAGAUCUCGCAAGGCUGCAAUGCCUAUAAGCAUCCUGAUCGAAGUCAUUCUCGUUACCGGAGAAUAGGUAUCAAAGAAAUCUAAGCCUUCUUUUUGCCGAAAUCCUUGCACUACAAGUCUAGCCUUGUACCUAUCAAUAUCACCAUUGGUUUUCCGUUUUAUUGUGAAAAUCCAUUUACUCCCUAAAGGUUUAGAACUUUGGGGUAGAUCUGCCAUCUCGUAAGUGUGAUGUUGCUUGAUAGAGUCCAUUUCAGUAUUGAUUACUUCCUUCCAAUAAGGUGCAUCAGGGGUGGACAUGGCUUCUGAAUAAGUCCUUGGUACAUUUUCAGCUAAAAACGCCAUAAGGAAAUCUUCACCGAAAGAUUUUCCUUUACGAGCUCUUUUGCUCCGUCUCGGUUCUUCUUCAGGUUCUGGUUCUGUUUCACCAGCAAUAGUACUUAAAGUACUAUCCUCAGCAUUUGAGGUUGCGGCAUCUCGUUGUUCACGAGAUCGUUUUUGAGUUUUCCUACAGGGGAAAAUGUGUUCAAAAAAUGAUGCAUUUCUUGAUUCCAUAACCGUGUUUACGUGAAUAUAUGAAAUAUCUGAUUUAUAAACCAGAAAUCGAUAAGCACUACUGUUGUGCGCAUAUCCGAUAAUGAUACAGUCUACGGUCUUAGGUCAAAUUGUGACCUUUNNNNNNNNNNNNNNNNNNNNNNNNNNNNNNNNNNNNNNNNNNNNNNNNNNNNNNNNNNNNNNNNNNNNNNNNNNNNNNNNNNNNNNNNNNNNNNNNNNNNUGCUAGACACCCCCACACUUUGAGGUAUUUGUACGAAGGUACUGUUCCUUUCCAAAGUUCAUGUGGUGAUUUGCCAGUCACCUUAUGCGGUAUCCUGUUGAGUAUGUGGUGGCCGGGACCCCCCCCCCCCCCCGCAUGUUCUGGGCUAACCCAGAUUCCUGCAACAACGCAUUCAUCAUUUCUUUCAGAGUUUGAUUCUUUCGUUCCGCAACUCCGUUAGAUUCUGGUGAGUAAGGAGCGGUCGUUUGAUGUAUAAUGCCUUUUUCUCUACAAAAUGCAUUGAACGUCUCAUUAUAUUCUCCACCUCUAUCACUUCGAACUACUUUUAUAGUUCUCUGCAGCUGGUUUUCUACUUCGAGUGUAAACUCUUUGAAUUUUUCCAGUGCUUGAUCUUUACUAUGUAACAAAUAUACAUAGCAAUAUCGUGUGCAAUCCUCUAUGAAGGUAACAAAGUAUUUCUUACCGCCUCUAGUUUGCACAUAUUUUAAAUCACAUAAGUCUGUGUGAAUUAAACCUAUAGGUUCGGUUGUUCUUUCAACUCGAGGUGAGGGAGUUUUAGUGAGUUUGGCCUGUACACAUACUUCACAUUUUUCUUGGUUAGUUUUGAAUUUUGGAAUUAAAUUCAAAUUCUGCAUUUUUCGCAUUGUUUUAUAAUUGACAUGUCUUAAGCGUUCAUGCCAAGUAGUAAACGACUCAACCAAGUAAGCAAUAGGGUUUUUAUUCAUUUCAGCAACAGAAGCAGAUGCUACAAUUUUCGGAUUGACUGUCGCUACAGACAUUUUGAUCAGUCCACCCUUAACAAAACCCUUUCCCAGAUACACCCCAUUAUUCUUAAGAACUAGCUUAUCAGACUCAAAAUUAAUGGAAAUACAAUUCUUGCUUAGCGCCGUUCCGGAGAUGAGAUUCUUCCGCAUGUCAGGUACGUGCUUCACGUUCAUCAGAGUCAGCUCACGAUCAGAAGUUAGCUUCAGAACUACUUUGCCCUUUCCUUCAAUCUUGGACACCGCUGUGUUGCCCAUGAAAAGUUGCUCACUUGACUUGUUCUUCACGUAGGUGGAGAACAUGGUCUUGUCAGAGCAGAUGUGUGUGGUAGCACCAGUAUCAUAGUACCACUCCACUAGAUUAUCUUCCACCAUGUUACAUUCAGUGACCACUGCAACCAUGUCUUCUUCAGUUAGGUUUGCCUGGCUCUUGAUAUCUCUGGCUUUGCUUUUGCAAACUUCAGCCUUGUGCCCAAUCUUUCCACAAUGAUGACACUUGCCUUUGAUGAAGUUCGUUGUGGACGACACCUUCAAAGCUUUUUGAGGAUUAGACACCCCUUUACCCUUGCCUUUCAGCUUGGCCUUAUGCUCAGCUACAUUGACAUCAUGCCCCUGGUUUUGAGCACCUGGAUGAACCCCACGAUUGUUGCCCUCAAUCCUCAACCUGCGGAUAAGAUUAUCAAGAGACAAUGCCUUACGUUUAAAGUUAAGGUAAUUCUUGAAAUCCGACCAGCCUGGUGGCAACUUCUCGAUCAAGCUAUUCGUCUUGUAGACAUUACAGAUCGACAUCCCUUCCAACUCUAUCUCUUGACAGAUGCGUUGGAAAGCCUCCACUUGCUCCAUAAUAGGUUUGGAGUCCACCAUCUUGAAGUUCAGAAACUUCCCAGUUGAGAAUUUCUGCAUUCCAGACUCAUCAGUCUUGUACUUGUUCUCCAAAGCCAACCACAAUGCUUUUAAAGUCUUGUACAUGCUAUAGAGGUCGAACAGGUCAUUGUACAUGCUAUAGGCGGUUCAGAAUCUGACCUUUGCACAAAAAAUCCCCUUCGUGCCAGUUAUCGAUACUUCCAGCCACAUACACAUAUGUGUUGUUUACCGGACGUAUCGGUGGAUCCUCAGUGAGGUACCUAUCGAUGUGCAUGCUGGCCAAAUAGUAGCGCAUCUUGUCUUGCCACGUCUUGCAUCAAAUUUGUCUGGCAUCAUCCCUUGAGAUGCAGAGGGGGGUAUCCCUUUCUGGGUUGGCUCCUUACCGAACAGAUUUCGGCGCACGGUUUCCCGAUCGGAAUCGCUCAGCGUCGUGCUUUCUAGUUCUUUUGCAAGACGUAAAGCCAUGUCAGCAGGAGUAAUAUGAUCUCCCUAGGAUAGAACUUCAAUGAAGGCUGAAGAUAGGUGAUAGGCGACGUGAGUUUGUCGAUGAUGAUGGGCGAUGAACGUGAGUGAUGAUAUGAGAAGAUUGAAUGAUGAAACAAUGGUUUGAUGGAGAUAGAUGUUUAGGUGGUUGUAUGGAUUGUAACAAUGAAGAGUUUCUGAAUCACAAAGUGUAUAGAAACUCGGAAAUCUAGAACGCAUUCAAGAAUUUGAAUUGAGAGAAAAAGUGUGACAAUACUUGUUCAUACAACUUCUUCGCUAAAGAGAAAAGAGGCGUAGCUUUGGGUUUUAAAUACCCUAGGGCACGACACUCCAAACAACAAGAAGUUCAAAACCAAAACAACAAUACGUUUUAAGGAAAUAAUAAAAACAGCAAGAUUUCCCGACGUCCUGUAGUAGUACAUAAGUCGGCUGAACUAGUACAGAAGCUUGACGACCUGUAGUAGUACAGAAGUACAUUAUUCCCCUUUGGUAAUGAUUUCUAGCUAACUCGACGUAGUGAUCCAUUUUCCUCAUUAAAAACCAUGCUGAGAAAACCCAUUGGGACAAAACUCAGCUAUGGGAAAAAGAGUACAAACUUCUCACCUAAGUUACCUAGUCCUCAUCACCGGGUGAAGUCUUCAGGUUAGAUAUGUUGAAGACUUGGAUCCUUGGUAGGUUGAAUGACCCGUCAGCUAUGAAUGCGUGUGCUUCCUUGGCCAUCUCCUUAGCUCUUGAACGAGUGAUCCUUCCCACCAUCUCCGGUUUCUCUGUAGCCUCUUGUUCCGUGCUAGCCACGAUCAUAUCAAGGAGUAUCAGGAGCCUUGGUAACAUCAACGUUGGUAUCGGAUCCAGACAUUCUGUUAACAAUAAACAUACAUGAUUAGUAUAUUAAUCAAAAUAAUUCUGGUAACUAAAUUACCCUGAAUUAGUUUUGCAAGCUCGCUCAGAAAGCGUUUGCAGAACCUUACGUUUCACAAACUCACUCACACAAGAGCGUUCGUGGAAACCCGAAAGGUUACGUUCUAGAGAACUGUCCACAACAAUCGCUAAAGAGCGUUUGUGAAGCAGUUAGAGGGGGUAGAAAAGAAGUUGUAAAUAAACAAAAACGUUCUUCUAUAAACUUUCCGCGUAAGCACCGCAAGAUGACUGCAGAAACAGUUAUAAGAAGAUUUUGAAAUCGUUUUUUUAAAAAAAAUUCGAAGAAUUCUCAAUCCGUUUAAAGCGAUAAGCAGAAAGCGGAUUUAUUGAAUUAAGAUUGUAGGAGCGCAAAAAUCGAAUGGAGAAAAAUACGAAUUUUAUUAAUGAGAACGAUAUCAUAGGGACAUUACAACAACAUAAUUUAAAAGCAUAAAUUUAAAACCCGGAGGCAAGAUAUGAUAUCUUUGUCCUUAAUUCAAUAAAUCGGCCGUAAGUGCUUCGGUCUAUCACGAUUUAUGAAUCCCAGGAUACAACCGGUUGCGAACUAUUACUCGAGCACACGAGUAAUAGACUCAAACAAACUAGAUCUACUAUAUACUCUCGAAACUAUAAAACUAAGAACUUACUUGAAAUAAGCAAGAG
rnacentral:lncRNA from 1 species